rnacentral:rRNA from 1 species
AGCGAACGCUGACGGCAGGCCUAACACAUGCAAGUCGAACGAAGUCUUCGGACUUAGUGGCGGACGGGUGAGUAACACGUGGGAACGUGCCUUUAGGUUCGGAAUAACUCAGGGAAACUUGUGCUAAUACCGAAUGUGCCCUUCGGGGGAAAGAUUUAUCGCCUUUAGAGCGGCCCGCGUCUGAUUAGCUAGUUGGUGAGGUAAAGGCUCACCAAGGCGACGAUCAGUAGCUGGUCUGAGAGGAUGAUCAGCCACAUUGGGACUGAGACACGGCCCAAACUCCUACGGGAGGCAGCAGUGGGGAAUCUUGCGCAAUGGGCGAAAGCCUGACGCAGCCAUGCCGCGUGAAUGAUGAAGGCCUUAGGAUUGUAAAAUUCUUUCACCGGGGACGAUAAUGACGGUACCCGGAGAAGAAGCCCCGGCUAACUUCGUGCCAGCAGCCGCCGUAACAC